CCUACGGGAGGCAGCAGUGGGGAAUAUUGCACAAUGGGGGAAACCCUGAUGCAGCGACGCCGCGUGAGCGAUGAAGUAUUUCGGUAUGUAAAGCUCUAUCAGCAGGGAAGUAAAUCACGGUACCUGACUACGGAUCCACGGCUAACUACGAGCCAGCAGCCGAGGUACUACGGCGGGGGCAAGCGUAAUCCGGAUUUACUGGGUGUAAAGGGAGCGUAGACGGUGUUACAAGCCAGAUGUGAAAGCACGGGGCUCAACCCCGGGACUGCAUUUGGAACUGUGGUGCUAGAGUGUCGGCGAGGCAGGCGGAAUGCGUGGUGUAGCGGUGAAAUGCGUAGAUAUUAGGAGGAACACCAGUGGCGAAGGCAGCCUGCUGGACGAUGACUGACGUUGAGGCACGAAAGCGUGGGGAGCAAACAGGAUUAGAUACCCCAGUAGUC
rnacentral:rRNA from 1 species